UAGCUCCGUCGCCCCCGCAAAGGCGGGGGCCGCUGGAGAGAUAGCGUAAGGCCAAGAGCGGCCCCCGCCUUCGCGGGGGCGACGAUCAUC
rnacentral:sRNA from 1 species